rnacentral:rRNA from 1 species
AUUGAACGCUGGCGGCAGGCCUAACACAUGCAAGUCGAGCGGAUGAAGGGAGCUUGCUCCUGGAUUCAGCGGCGGACGGGUGAGUAAUGCCUAGGAAUCUGCCUGGUAGUGGGGGAUAACGUCCGGAAACGGGCGCUAAUACCGCAUACGUCCUGAGGGAGAAAGUGGGGGAUCUUCGGACCUCACGCUAUCAUAUGAGCCUAGGUCGGAUUAGCUAGUUGGUGGGGUAAAGGCCUACCAAGGCGACGAUCCGUAACUGGUCUGAGAGGAUGAUCAGUCACACUGGAACUGAGACACGGUCCAGACUCCUACGGGAGGCAGCAGUGGGGAAUAUUGGACAAUGGGCGCAAGCCUGAUCCAGCCAUGCCGCGUGUGUGAAGAAGGUCUUCGGAUUGUAAAGCACUUUAAGUUGGGAGGAAGGGCAGUAAGUUAAUACCUUGCUGUUUUGACGUUACCCACAGAAUAAGCACCGGCUAACUUCGUG